AGUGAACGCUGGCGGUAGGCCUAACACAUGCAAGUCGAACGGCAGCACAGUAAGAGCUUGCUCUUACGGGUGGCGAGUGGCGGACGGGUGAGGAAUACAUCGGAAUCUACUUUUUCGUGGGGGAUAACGUAGGGAAACUUACGCUAAUACCGCAUACGACCUACGGGUGAAAGCAGGGGAUCUUCGGACCUUGCGCGAUUGAAUGAGCCGAUGUCGGAUUAGCUAGUUGGCGGGGUAAAGGCCCACCAAGGCGACGAUCCGUAGCUGGUCUGAGAGGAUGAAGGGCAAAAUGGGAAAGGAAAAAGGGCCAAGACUCCAAGGGGGGGAGGAGGAGGGAAAUAUGGGAAAAGGGGGGAAAGCGUAAAGAACAAAUACGGGGGGGGGAAAGAGGGCUUGGGGGUGGAAAGCCCUUUUGGUGGGAAAAAAAAAGCAGGAGGUAAAAACCGGGGUGUUGUGAGGGGACAAAAAAAAAAAGCGCCGGCUAACUUCGUG
rnacentral:rRNA from 1 species